GGUCUCUUGAUUCACUUGCUUGUUUGCACAUAACACAGCAACCAUCUACAUUGAAGUGUCAUUUAAUCAGCCUCUCUUUGGUAGGGAGUUUGUCUUGAAGGAGUAACCACAAGUUGAAGAGGGACUUAGGUCGAGCAGCAUUUUGCAUAAGUAGAGCUUUCCAUGGAACUCUAGGCAUUUGACCAAUUUGUUUAAGGUAGAUCAGUUUGAUGGAACAAUUACUAUU
rnacentral:lncRNA from 1 species